rnacentral:lncRNA from 1 species
GGCAGUAGACACUGCACUUUCCAUGAUGUACAGUCUGUAUUUUCAACUCUUCGGCUCUAGACCACCAGCACUGAGGACGAUGAAAAUUUUUUGGAUAGCAUUGAAGAGUUCAAAAGGUCGUAUGAAGUGUUUUGCCUGAAGCUUCAGUGAAGUAAAAUUGGUUUCUUCUGAGAAUAAGGUUGUUUAGGCCACCAUCCCUGGAACAAAUAUUAUCCCUUCCUGCAAUUCCAUUGUCUGCCGGUGUUACCGGCAGAGCUACUUUGAGUGCUGGGCAGGAGCUGAAGCCACGAUGGGCAGGGGGUUCAUUCUGGGGAGUGGCUGGGAGGGGAGAUUCUUAGACCUCUGAGCCUGCAGCUCUGAGCUCUGAGUUGAAGCUCUGCUCUCCAAAGCAAGGGUGGCUCAGAAGCGCUUUGGGGUCAUCUGUCUUCGCCAGCCUCACCUCACUCUUAUUCUCUGAGGAUGUUUAGGAAGAAAUGAAAAUUAUGUGGCUUAGUCUCAGCAUAGCAAGAACUGUGGGGAAGAUCAUUAACUUUCUAACCUGAUUUCUUCUGUGACUUCAGAGGCUUCCUUAACCUCCAGUUAGAAAUUUUUAUCAGGCAUAUUUGAUUAUUAUGUAUCAAGUAUCUGCCUUGUGCCAUUCGCUGUUUGAGGCAGUUAGAAACAGUGAUGGGCAUGUCAGAUGAAACCCUGCUCUGACGGACCUAAAAUCCUAGUGAGUGAUAAUUAAUAUUUAUACUUUAUCUUUUCACUUAGUGAUUAAUGUUCAAAAGAAAAGCACUCAUAUCAGAAUGAGGUACUUAUUCUUCAAAAAUUAUGAUAGAUUCUCUUUGUAUUUUAAAAAUAUUUUGGUGGUAUAUAAUAGAGUCAGUUUCUUCAACAGAGCUACAAGCUUGAUCCCCUUGUUGGGAAAUAUAUGUUACAAGGGCAACAUUAGAAACCCCCAUGAUCCAGUCACCUCCCACCAGGUCCUUCCCCCAACGUUAGGGAUUACAACUCAACAUGAGAUUUGGGUGGGACACGGAGCCAAACCAUAUCAGUUGUUAACUCAGCUCUCGUGUGCUAUAUCCUUUCCUUCGUGGGAUCCCAUUAAAAACAUUAAAUGAAGAAACAUAACAGCCAAGGGAAAGAUGGAAGGACCCUUCCACGGAAAAAAAAAAUGGAACAAAUAGCUUGAAGGAAAAUGAGAAGGAAAACCUGUUGAAGGAUGACACCGAUCUGGAAGAGGAUGCCCAGAGUGUAAAGAAGGAGAUGGGGAUGGGCAACAGGGCUCCAGAGGGCUACCAGGCUGUGCGUUCACAGGUCGGAGGAGCAGAAAAUGCGUCCAUCGCAACAAGAAGGGGGACUACUGUGAGUGGAAAGCUUGCUCAUGGAGAGGGAGACAUUCACUCCUCUCACUGUCCCCUAUCCCUGCUGUCCCAAGGAGAGAGCACCCCAGUUAUGUGAUUGAGUGUAGUAUUUUUUAAAUGUCAGUACUGGUUUGAUUUUUAACUAAGUAAAAAUGGAAAAUUAAACAAAAAGUACAGGGUAUCUGUCAACUUCCCAGAACAU